GACGAACGCUGGCGGCGUGCUUAACACAUGCAAGUCGAACGGAAAGGCCCUGCUUUUGUGGGGUGCUCGAGUGGCGAACGGGUGAGUAACACGUGAGUAACCUGCCCUUGACUUUGGGAUAACUUCAGGAAACUGUGGCUAAUACCGGAUAUGAGCUCCUGCUGCAUGGUGGGGGUUGGAAAGUUUCGGCGGUUGGGUAUGGACUCGGGGGUUGUCAGGUUGUUGGUGGGGUAUUGGCUUACCAAGGCUUUGACGGGUAGCCGGCUUGAGAGGGUGACCGGCCACAGUGGGACUGAGAUACGGCACAGACUCAAACGGGAGGUAGCAGUGGGGAAUAUUGCACAAUGGGCGGAAGGCUGAUGGAGAAACGUCGCGUGCGGGAUGACGGCCUUCGGGGUGUAAACCGCUUUAGCCUGUGACGAAGCGUGAGUGACGGUAACGGGUAAAGAAGCACCGGCUAACUACGUG
rnacentral:rRNA from 1 species